rnacentral:lncRNA from 1 species
CAGCGUUCCAGGCAGCCUUGAAGGGCAGGCGAGCUUGGUGCACAUCCAGCAUCCUUGCUUCCAAAUCCAGCCCACACCCUGCACACCCACAUGAGUCAUUAAUUGAUAUCUUUGUUUGUACUGUAAACCCUGCGAUUCGGAUGGAUGCACCAGAUGCCCUGAACUUGCUAUGGAUCAGCUGGCAAGGGAUGCUCCUCUUCUGGCUGGCCUCAAAGUCUACAGCAGUUGAAGGGUCAAAACCUCUCCAUGCAUGUGCUUUGCUGUAGAAUCACUUUACUUGUUGAGACGCCCUCCAAAACACUCUCAAGAGACUCUACGGCCUUUGAAAAGGCAAAAGGCAAUCUCUAAGAAAAAUAAAGAUCUUCGCAAUCAACUCUGGGCCUCAACACAAAGCCGCUUACGGGGUCUUACGCCUGGUUCUCGAAAGAACGGCGGGGUGGUCAAGAGGGCAGAACCCCAGACAAUAAAGCUAAGGUAUUACCUGCGCCGGUCUCUGCGCAUGCUGAGGUCAGCAGGUGAGUCAUCGCUAUGGAGCCCAGCGCAGCGUGCAAAGCGGGCAGGUGGCACAGCAGGCAACGGAAGUCAACAAAGCCCCUGACGACGCACUGCGCCGCGAAGAGCAUUGCUCCUUCCACCUCAGCUGCACUGUCCACCUG